GAUGAACGCUGGCGGCGUGCCUAAUACAUGCAAGUCGAGCGAACAGACGAGGAGCUUGCUCCUCUGACGUUAGCGGCGGACGGGUGAGUAACACGUGGAUAACCUACCUAUAAGACUGGGAUAACUUCGGGAAACCGGAGCUAAUACCGGAUAAUAUAUUGAACCGCAUGGUUCAAUAGUGAAAGACGGUUUUGCUGUCACUUAUAGAUGGAUCCGCGCCGCAUUAGCUAGUUGGUAAGGUAACGGCUUACCAAGGCAACGAUGCGUAGCCGACCGGAGGGGGUGAUCGGCCACACUGCAACUGAGACACGGUCCCGACUCCUACGGGAGGCAGCGGUAGGAAAUCUGCCGCAAUGGGCGAAAGCCUGACGGAGCAACGCGGCGUGAGUGAUGAAGGUCUUCGGAUCGUAAAACUCUGUUAUUAGAGAAGAACAAAUGUGUAAGUCACUAUGCACGUCUUGACGGUACCUAAUCAGAAAGCCACGGCUAACUACGU
rnacentral:rRNA from 1 species